rnacentral:misc_RNA from 1 species
AAGUGAACUUUCAAUCCUGCUCUUGUCACCCGCGUAGUUCGCAAUCUCUGGUAAAUCAUAGCCCGGAAAGUUGUUUUGAUUCAGAGACCUCUGGCUACGUGAGAACAUUGGAACAGUUACAAUCGAGCGGUCAUUGUUUCCCCAAGCAGUCAGUGUCGGAAAGUGUCACUGAUUGUGCAAGGAUAGCGCUUCACGAUUCCUGUAGACCGUACACUCGGAUGCCAAAGGGUCCCCAUGCCCCCUUAUAACCCCACAGUUUAAUGUAAAGCUCAAUGUAAUACAUUGGGUAAAAAAACCGAACAACUGUUAACAAUGGAUAUCUUGGUUCUC